AUACGUAGGGGGCGAGCGUUGUCCGGAAUGAUUGGGCGUAAAGGGCGCGUAGGCGGCCCGGUAAGUCUGGAGUGAAAGUCCUGUUUUUAAGAUGGGCACUGCUUUGGAUACUGUCGGGCUUGAGUGCAGGAGAGGGAAGUGGAAUUCCCAGUGUAGCGGUGAAAUGCGUAGAGAUUGGGAGGAACACCAGUGGCGAAGGCGACUUACUGGACUGUAACUGACGCUGAGGCGCGAAAGUGUGGGGAGCAAACAGGAUUAGAUACCCUGGUAGUCCACACUGUAAACGAUGAAUGCUAGGUGUAGGGGGUAUCGACCCCUUCUGUGCCGCAGUCAACACAAUAAGCAUUCCGCCUGGGGAGUACGGCCGCAAGGUUGAAACUCAAAUGAAUUGGCGGGG
rnacentral:rRNA from 1 species